AUUAGAACUGGAUGAAGGUCUGACAAAAAAUAAAUUUUCUUGCUUUAAUUACUAAUUUUAUAUAUAUAAUAAAAAAGUUUAUAAUAAUUAGAAGGACGAUAAGACCCUAAAACCUUUAUUAAUAAUCUAUUUUUUUACUGGGGUGGUAACUUAUAAAGACAUAAUUAAAAUUAACAUAUUGAAUGAAAUUAACUAACUUAAAUUUAAAAACAAAAAGGUACUUUAGGGGUAACAGCAUAAUUUUUAUAGAGAGUAACCUUAUCGACAUAAAAGCUUAUGACCUCGAUGUUGAAUUGAAUAUACUUUAUUAAGCAACAAUAAUAAAAGUAGGUCUGUUCGACCUUUAAACUUUCACAUGAUCUGAGUUCAAACCGGA
rnacentral:rRNA from 1 species